GCUCAGUAGUUGUGAUGCACAGGCUUUGUUGCUCUGCAGCAUGUGGGAUCUUCCCGGACCAGGGCUCGAACCCGUGCCCCUUGCAUUGGCAGGUGGAUUCUCAACCACUGCGCCACCAGGGAAGCUCAAGCUUUACAUUUUGAUCAAAGAAUGGAGAGGUGCGAGCUCCCGCAAAGGCUGUAGGCUGGGCUGCUCUAUAGGGUUCUUGUCAGCAGGGGUCGGGGUGGAGUUCUUGUGGUCCGGGGCAGCUGUGCUGCUCAGGCUUCAGAUCGCAGUGCCGGGCACAGUGUCUCUGCACACAGCCUGCCGCCACCAUCUUGAAUUGUGGUGUCGUGCGCAGCACUUCUGCACAUGGCCCUGCAGAGCUGAUGUGUCAGCACAGCCAUUUCCCACUAGGAACUCUGGUCUGAAAUGUCGAGUGCAAGGCCUCUGCACGUGGCACCCUGUGAGCAAGUGAAACUACACUAAGCACAAAGGAAAAAACCAGACUUUUAUUACCCAGAUUCUACUUUUAUUCCGAAGGAAAUGUUCAUGGGCUUUGCUGGUAACAAAUCCCUCCUCUGUCUUCUGUCCUGCUCUUCUUUCUUGAGGGGCGCUGAGGGGCAAAGAGGUUCGUCUUCUGCAACUGCUUCCCGCUGAGUUUGGGCGUCAUCAUAACCCUGGGAGAGGAGCAGAAUUUCUCCUCAGCUGCCUUUAGAUUGUCACCAGGGCUUAGCCCGGCUGUUCAUGUCCCUGAGCGACCACCAUUGGAAGUUUUAUAGAUUCUGACCUUUUGGAGACAAAGGACACCAGACAAUUUGAGAUGCAUGGUUCAAGUAUCAGCAAGAGGACAAAGGUUAUUAUUAAGGGGCCCAGGAAAGGUAGAAACCAAGUGACACUAGGGAGGGCCUGUUUCACCCGCUGCAUAUUUGUUGGGCCAGAUGAGGCUGCCUGGCCUGUCUGCCAAGUUGCUUUUUCUAGUAGCCUGUGUGCACUUUCUUCAAUCAGGCCACUUGCAUUAACAUGAAAGCAACUUGACCUAUUGGCCAGUGCACAGACCCCUCCCUGGUCAGCUAACAGAUAAUCUAGGGCAAUUCGGUUAUCUAGGACCAUAACAGCCAGUGAGCCAACAGAUUUUUGUAUGGGGUUUAAGGGUUUGUCCUGCUUCACAUGUCAAAUUUUUUCUAAUAAGUUGAAGUCGAGUCCAGUCUUGUUGGCCACUGUUGUACUGUGGCUGUUAUGUUUGUUUUUUUUUUUUGCGGUGUGUGGGUCUCUCACUGUUGUGGCCUCUCCUGUUGCAGAGCACAGGCUCCGGACGCGCAGGCUCAGCGUCCAUGACUCACGGGCCCAGCCGCUCCGCGGCACAUGGGAUUUUCCCGGACCGGGACAUGAACCCGUGUCUCCUGCAUCAGCAGGUGGACUCUCAACCACUGCGCCACCAGGGAAGCCCUGCUUCUGUUUUUUUAUGUUUUGUUUUUUUGGCCACGAGGCAUGUGGGAUCUUAGCUCCUCGAUCAGGGAUUGAACCCACCCCCCCCCCCUGCAUUGGAACGCAAAGUCUUAACCACCAGACCGCCAGGGAAGUCCCCCGACUGUAAACUUAAUUAAAGUUUGGAUCUGGUCCCACAGUUCUUAGGGUGACAUACCCCCUCUAAGCAUUGAGAUGCCCAGCCCCACGUUGAGUUGGGGGGCUUACCCAAGAACAUGUAUCCUUUUCGUAAGUGCACCAGCCCUGUGUCAUUGGUUUGGAUCUUUGAAGGGUCAGUGCUCUGGUUUUUCAUCCAUGUAAGUAUAUCCAGGGUCCUAUUAGGGCACCCAGGUACCAAACUCGACAGUUUUCCCUCGUUGGACUGCCUGAGUCACGUAAUUGUUGGUGCUAUUGACCCCUAAGUGUCACAGCUGGGACCAGCUGCGACUUCAACUUGUUAACAGUUUACCGCCUGCUGGGAAGAGGGUGCUAUUUAAUGCUUCCUCCUUGGUUAUUGGGGUUCCUCUUAAAUAUGUCUGACGGUCCUUUCCUGUUUCAGGUUGGGCGUGACAGAUCCAACAAUCAGUGAAGUUCCAUCCUUCCUGAAUAUCUCUGAUCAUGUUAUAGAAGAAAGUUUUUUGCCAUGGAGCGACAGUGGGGAGGACGUUUUAAUUCCCAAAAUGGGAAGUAUAAAUUGGAAGUAUAGGGCCCUCAUUUUGCAAGCACUGGGGUAAAUGUGUCUGCGGAGGGAGGGGCAAAGAAGACUCAGCGCGAUGGCAGCAAUCACCAGGGUAUCUUGUGUGCUGCCGCUUUUCCAGGUUUUUAGGUUCACCCAGUCUCCUGGCUGGAAGGAGUGUAGGGCCAGGUCAGUAGAUGCAGGAAGCACCUGGUUACCUUAUUCGUUGACAACUUUCAUGGUUUCUCCUACCUGGAGGGCAUACUUGAGUUGUUCCAUUUCAUGGGGGCUAAGGUGUCCCUUCUCUCGGGCUAGGGAAUGGGUCUACCAGACAUGAAUUCAAAUGCACUUAACUUUAAACUUAUCUCUUGGAGCAAACUGAAUGCAGAGCAGGGCGAUCAAUAGAAACUUAACCCAAUUUUCUUAGGUUUCCUGACAUAGCUUGACUAGGGCCCAUUUCAAGCUUUGACUGGAUCUCUCUACUUUCCCUAGUGAUUAGGGCCUCCAGGCUGAGUGCAAGGUCCAUUUUAUGCCCAAGUCACCCAUUAUCCCCUUCAUCACUUGAGGCGCGAAUGCUGGACCAUUAUUGUUUUGUCCAGGGACGUUUGUCCUCAGCCAUUAACAUUAUCAUCUUGUGCCCUUUGUCUAAGGGAAUACCAGUCUCCAAUUUGCCUCCCAUUAGGUGGAUAGUAGCCCAUGAUUUGUGUAAAAUAUCUCUUCCUAGCAAGGGUAUAGGGCAUUUGGGGACAUACAGGAAAGAAUGGUGGGUGAGCAUGUGUUCAUCCAAUUUACAUUCUAAUGGCUUUAUGAAUGCCCAUUCUUGGGGCUUCCCUGAACCAUUUUACAUUUUACCCCCAUCAUUUUACAAGUCUUGUGACCAGUUUUGCCUGAUCUGGGGUUCAGAACCGAGUUAAGUGUCAACUAAGACUUCAAUAGGCUUUCCCUGCUAUGUGCAGUGUCAGCGGGGCUCCUCGGGGGUCAAUUGGAACGCCAGCUUAGGAGCCCCCUGGCCUGUCUUUCUUCAUCUAUUUGGACCAUCUGCCUUUGAGGGUAGUGGCCAGAAUCUGCCAUUUCUGCCCCCUAUCAGGGGUGGCAAGGACAUUCUCUCUUCCAGGGUCCCUCUUUUUUACAUAUGGCGUGCCGAUUGGGUCCUAGUUUCCUUGGCUUGAGAUAGCCCCCUUGGUAGGGGCCAGGGGUCACUUACUGGAGUUGAGAGUUUCUGUGGGCAGUUAGUCCAGAUUCCUGUACUGACCAGUUGACAUUGGAGGGUAAUAACCAGUAGGUGGGCUUGACUCUGGGCCUUUUUAUCCUCUGACUUUUCUUCCUCUAUAGCUCUGCUAUCUUUGGCGAGUGGUUCAUAGGGCUCCCCAGCCCACUUCAGAGAAAAUAGCACUGACCAGAAGAGGCCAAGUUACCGCUCACGUACCUACUUUGGGAUCCUUUUGCACUCAGGUGUCCCUGGAGCCUUUUCCUGAACUUGGAUUGAGUGUCCUUGUUCCAUUUUGUCAGGCAUCCUCAUUACCUGGGCCUUUUCCCAGUCUCACCUCUUGGCUCACAGGGCUGGCCACUUUCCUUUACCAAACUGAAAUGACUAUGGACAAUGCUACUGUUGACCCCUGGAGGCCGACGAGGAGAACAAAAAGCCCUGGUGCGGCCACACUGCCUUGUACAGGGGCCAAGAGGAGCACUACUGGCGAGACAGUGGGAAGACUGCUGUAGCUCCCCCUGGUCCACAGGUCCCCAACAUUCCCCGGGUGUCUGGUAUGGAGAAAAAACCAGUCAGAGGCAGUGGGCAGACAUGCAUGAGUUUCAGUCUCCAAUCCCCAGUGAUGCCACAGUGUGAUCCCCUCAAGGGGGCACAGUCCAGAUGACUCAGUGCUGUGCUGUGUGUGCAGCACACCCGGUAUCAGUGUGCUGGGCAGAGUUAAACCGAAUUUGACUGAAGCCUUCUGCAGUUCUACCCUGUCAGAGUGAACUCAAAGAUCAGAGUCAAUCAUUCUCAGGUGAACCUCCCAAAGCCUCCGCCAUCCUCUUGCUGGAGCCAGGGCAAGUUCAGAGCCUUGUGGAUAGGUGCAGGUUAAAAGGGCAUGGAGUGCCCCAUCCUGGAUGCCAAAAUUUUGUUACUGACCCUCCCAAGUUGGUCCCUAACAAAGUUCGUUCAGCCCCAAUGUAGUUCAAGCCAAUAGAACGAGACCGAGUUCUAAGACUGAGUUUGUUUCAGAAGCAAAUGAAAGCUUUAUUCUUUAAUCGAGGAAUAGAGAGGUGUGAGCUCAUGUUCUAGAGCACACGCUCUCCUCAAAAGGCCAUUAGCAGGGCUGCUUUACAGGGUUCUUGUCCGCAGGGAGUAGGGGCAGAGCUCUUGUGGAAGAGGUGCAGCUGUGCUGCUCACAGGUCCAGAUCACAGUGCUGGGCGCAGCACCCCUGCACAUGGCCCACCACUACCAUCUUGAAUUGCAGUGUCGUGUGCAGUGCCUCGAGCCCAUCGAGCUGAAGUGUUGAGCGCAGCCAUUUUGCACUAGGAGCUUUGGUCUGAAGUGCCAGGUGCAAGGCCUCUGCAUGCGGUGCCGUAUGAGCAAGUGAAACUAGACUAAACACAAAGGGGGAAGAAAAAGGUCAAUCUCUCUGCGGGGGAAGCCAGACACCAUGCUACGAGGAUGCUCAAGCAGCCCUGGGGAGAGAUACAAUUGCUGGGGAGCUGACACCUCCCACAAACUUGCCAACCGUGUGAAUAAGCCAUCUUGGAAGUGGAUCCUCCAGCUCCAGUCAAGCCUUAAGAUAAACUGAACUGUACCCCCAGCCAACAUCUUCACUACAACCUCAUUAGAGACAAUGAGCUGGAACCACAUGACGAUAGUACUGACCUCAUAAGUUAAUAAAGAGCUGCUCUGGAAUUCCUGACCCACAGAAACUGUAUGAGAUAAUAAAUGUUUAUUAUUGUU